UACGGAGGGCGCAAGCGUUGUUCGGAAUCACUGGGCGUACAGCGUGCGCAGGCGGCUUGGUAAGUCGAGUGUGAAAGCCCGGAGCUCAACUUCAGAACUGCAUUCCAAACUACCUUGCUCGAGUCCCGGCGAGGCUGGUGGAAUUGCCGGUGUAGAGGUGAAAUUCGUAGAUAUCGGGAGGAACACCAGUGGCGAAAGCGGCCACCUGGGCGGUGACUGACGCUGAGACGCGAAAGCGUGGGGAGCAAACAGG
rnacentral:rRNA from 1 species